GGACGCGCCUUCAAACAAACUCGUACAGUAAUUAGUUCCAACGACAUACGGGAGGUUUUUGCGCGAAAUUUGAAUGUGCAAGUGUUCAUUGCCGCAAAGCAGUCAAUUGAAAUCACCAUUUUCAAUGUGCGAGAUGAACUGUCGGACGCGCGACGCACACACGGGACAUCGAUACGGGUUCCACCUCGAGUUGUGGUGUAUGUUUCUAUGAUUUUUUCUCCCCGAUUUCGAGUGAACACCGAAAGCACUAACGACCAACAGGCAACGCCAAACAGUUGCCCAUAUCAUGGACUACUCCAGCCUGCCCCCAGAAGUCCACCAGAAGCUCGCAGAUCUCGAACUUGAACUCGAAGAAGGCAAGUCACACACAUACCUCACACAGUAGUCAAUCCAGUGUCCUCUUUACAGGCGAUAUCACACAGAAAGGCUAUGAAAAGAGGAAAGCAAAGCUACUAGAGCCAUACCAAUCUGGCGGCGGCAACAGUUUUCACUCGGAAUCAAGUUUGUUGAGUCCGGAAGCGAGGAAUGUGCGAGCUGUUUCACCUGCGCCGAAUUUUCAACAAGAACUCGCGCGUACAGACCUGGUCUGCCUGGCUCAACAGUAACUGGUCGUGGCAUCAUGUCGAUCACAGGACUCAGUUAUGGAGUCGUUCGAGUAGAAGAGGAGAACUCGAUGUCGUCUCUGACUUUACCAGACUGUUGCACAGUACUUGCAGGAGCAAAAGUUACCAUAACGAAGCUGGAAGGUCCUCCCUAUUUGUGCCAAACGGACGAAGUCGGUGAGCUCUGCGUGAGUUCACAAUACACGGGAACAAGCUAUUGGGGUCUGGCUGGAAAGUCAACGAACGUGUUCAAGGUUCAACCGCUGGCUUCGAAUGGUUAGCCGCAUUCGAUGAGUUUGUAUGUUUGAACGGGAUUGCUUGGAUUUCUUGGACCGGGAGGUCUUAUUUUCAUUUGUGGUCGUUUGGAUGGUCUGAUGAAAGUCCAAGGUCGUCGGCACAAUACGGACGACCUCAUUGUAAUCGUUCUCGCCGUUGAACCUCACAAAUUUGUAUACAGACAGAGG